ensembl:lncRNA
CACACAGGUUUGGUCCCAGCCUUCCUGUUAACUCUUAAUAAACUUACAUAUGCAAGCAUCCACAUCCCGGUGAGAAUGCCCUCUAGGUUAACAAAACUAAGGAGCUGGCAUCAAGCACACGCCCAUAGCUCACCACGCCUUGCUUAACCACACCCCCACGGGAAACAGCAGUGACAAAAAUUAAGCCAUAAACGAAAGUUUGACUAAGUUAUAUUAAUUAGGGUUGGUAAAUCUCGUGCCAGCCACCGCGGUCAUACGAUUAACCCAAGCUAACAGGAAUACGGCGUAAAAUGUGUUAAAGCACCAUACCAAAUAGGGUUAAACUCUAAUUAAGCUGUAAAAAGCCAUAAUUACAAUAAAAAUAAAUGACAAAUGUGACUCUAUAGUAGCUGACACACUAUAGCUAAGACCCAAACUGGGAUUAGAUACCCCACUAUGCUUAGCCCUAAACACAGAUAAUUAUAAAAACAAAAUUAUUCGCCAGAGUACUACCGGCAACAGCUUAAAACUCAAAGGACUUGGUGGUGCUUUAUGUCCCUUUAGAGGAGCCUGUUCUAUAAUCCAUAAACCCCGAUAAACCUCACCAAGUCUUGCUAAUACAGUCUAUAUACCGCCAUCUUCAGCAAACCCUAAAAAGGAACAAAAGUAAGCACAACCAUAAUACAUAAAAACGUUAGGUCAAGGUGUAACCUAUGAAAUGGGAAGAAAUGGGCUACUCACAAACAGUUUACCAAGAACUAACUCAUCUAUGUGGCAAAAUAGUGAGAAGAUUUGUAAGUAGAGGUGACACGCCUAACGAGCCUGGUGAUAGCUGGUUGUCCAGAAAAUGAAUCUUAGUUCAGCUUUAAAGAUACCAAAAAUUCAAAUAAAUCUCACUGUAUCUUUAAAAGUUAAUCUAAAAGGGUACAGCCUUUUAGAAACGGAUACAACCUUGACUAGAGAGUAAGAUCUAACAGUACCAUAGUAGGCCUAAAAGCAGCCACCAAUUAAGAAAGCGUUAAAGCUCAACAACAAAGAUU